GACAAGGCAGAACCUUCACGCAAACUUCUGGUGCAGCAAAUGGACAGGUGGUAGCCUGCAGAUGCACUGGGGCAAUCAGAUGUGGAGAGCCUGCCCUGGAGAGCUGGAAGGCUGCAAGGCUUUACCGUUCCUUCCCCUGGCUCAUCUGUGUGCUUUUCCUGUUGCUGGGAUUGUGGGGUCAUCAGUGAGCCCUCUAGUAUCACCUCAUCCCUCAAGUCCCCUCACCCUUCUGAAUUCAUCUGAUCACUGGUAGCUCCAUUCUCCCACUGGUAUCUUCUAUUUUCCAUCACCUGCUCUGUACAGUCCGCCCUCGAGUCAGCUGCUUCCUCCCUUCUAGCCAUUCCAUGAUAUGCU
rnacentral:lncRNA from 1 species